CUGAUUUUUCAUUAGGGGAGAGAGGGUUCCCUCUCUCUCCGACCGACACCUCCGUGCACUCUGGGGGGACGUCGCAGUCCCCCCGUUUUUCUUUAUGAACGCCUGUAUUCUCGCGCGUAUAUACAAAACCCCUUCGGGGGGUAAAAACGAAAUA
rnacentral:misc_RNA from 1 species